ACUGGGGUGAAGUCGUAACAAGGUAACCGUAGGGGAACCUGCGGUUGGAUCACCUCCUUA
rnacentral:rRNA from 17 species